rnacentral:rRNA from 1 species
AUUGAACGCUGGCGGCAUGCCUUACACAUGCAAGUCGAACGGCAGCAUGAUCUAGCUUGCUAGAUUGAUGGCGAGUGGCGAACGGGUGAGUAAUACAUCGGAACGUGCCCUGUAGUGGGGGAUAACUAGUCGAAAGAUUAGCUAAUACCGCAUACGACCUGAGGGUGAAGGUGGGGGACCGCAAGGCCUCAUGCUAUAGGAGCGGCCGAUGUCUGAUUAGCUAGUUGGUGAGGUAAAGGCUCACCAAGGCGACGAUCAGUAGCUGGUCUGAGAGGACGAUCAGCCACACUGGGACUGAGACACGGCCCAGACUCCUACGGGAGGCAGCAGUGGGGAAUUUUGGACAAUGGGCGAAAGCCUGAUCCAGCAAUGCCGCGUGUGUGAAGAAGGCCUUCGGGUUGUAAAGCACUUUUGUCCGGAAAGAAAUGGCUCUGGUUAAUACCUGGGGUCGAUGACGGUACCGGAAGAAUAAGGACCGGCUAACUACGUG